ensembl:lncRNA
UUUUUUUUUUUGGUUUUGGGGGAGGGGUUUUGUGGCCACAGCCACAGCAUAUGGAAGUUCCCAGGCCAGAGACUGAAUCCAAGCCACAGCUGUGACCUAUGCCACAGCCAUGGCAACACCAAAUCCUUAAUCCACUGUGGAUCAAACCGUGCCUCCACAGUGACCUGAGCCACUGCAUUUGGAUCCUUACUGCUGUGCCACAGAGGGAACUCCCCCCACAUUCCUUAUUAACAUGUGGUUCCACUGAUGCUCAGGCCAAGAGGUGGCCAGCGUCCCUGGGUCCCCUGCAGCUGAGAAGUGCAGCCUCGGGGAGCUUUAGCUGAUGAAAAAUCAACAUUGGCUCCUGCCCUUCCUGGGGCCUUGUUUUCAUAACCACCUUCUUCAGCUUUUAACCUGAGGGCUGCCAGCAACAGGUGCUAUCCUGCAGUUUUAAGGCUUUUUUUCCUGGACUCUGGAAACCUCGUGCUGAAAGUCUGAUGCUGAUAUGACAGACCCUCCAGCUGUGUAGCUGGCACAUGUGUUUCUGCUGAAGACAACAUGUACUCUGACCGGCUUCUAGAAUCGCCCACAUUCUUGCAGACCCUUGGGAUGUGAGAGCUCAGCCAUGGUCUCCUGCUGACACCCAGGUCCUAGGUGAUAAAAAUUCUUCUACCCACCUUUCUGAUCCAGGGUUCUACUUCUACAAUGCAAUUACUUGUCUUGAAUUUUCACCAACAUUUCAAAGGGGCAAGAGGCAUUCUUCCUUCUUUUCAGUCUGCUGUACACAGGAGGUUUUUCCAGCUGCCAGUUAAAUGCCGGGGCCCAGCAGGUACCCAGUGGGCACAGUCCCACCCCACUAUUAGGUGCGUUCCUGGGAGAGACCUCGAGUCCACAUGGAAACAGUAGGAUCGGGCUUCCGUGUGUCCAAGGGACUUCCCCAUGAGGCCACCGAGUCCCUGGUGUGCCUAGAAAGUCACCAUUACACAUCACCCCUCACCCUUCCCGAAGGACAGUAAGGAAGCAAGAGCCUGCGAAUGGACAACCCCAUGGAGGAGGGGGCAAGGAAGGCACAGAAGCUCACAGAGAGGACAGGGAGAUGGCCUGAGAGUGAGAGAAUCUGGUACAGUCACCAUGGGGAAGCAGGUGACAGGAGAGGGGUCAGGGAGAAGCCCAAGUGAGGAGCCUCAGGCAACAGAAGGGGGUCCAAACCAAUAACGUCAAAUGGGUUUCCAUUUUUUGCCUAAUACAUUUCAGGAGUCGACUCCAAUGUUUGCUUCCACUUCCUACCCCAAAGGAAGAAGACGGCAGAGGAUAGCGGGUCCAAGGGUUUGGAAUUUAGAAAUGAUCGAUUUCCAAGGUUGGGAAAAAUCCACUAAAAAUGAGCACACGUACACUGUUUUCAUUCCAUUCCUGGCAGAGCCAACAUAUGGCCCAAAGGAGAGCUGAGUAACAGGAGGCAAAGGGAAAUUAGAGAUGAGAUCAUUUAGACAACAUCUUCAUUUUACAGAUGAGAAAACUGAGGCCUGGAGAGGGGCUCGACGUCACCAUUAAAUAACUGCAGAACCCACGGGACUAGAACUCUGGCCCUUAACUCCCAGUCCAUGCGUCUGCUUCCCUUCUACCCAGCCUGCUAGGCUUCCUUCCACCCCAGCUGCCAUGACCGUAGUGGAGUAAAAGUUUGCCUUGGAGCGCCCUCCUCUGGCUCUGGGCAGCCACUGGCAUAGCUACAAAUGUCGGCCUGGUUCUUAAACUGGAGCAGGUAACAGAAUCACCUGCCUACGGUUAAAACGUGGAUUGCUGGGCC